rnacentral:lncRNA from 1 species
CUGUGCCCAUGCCCCUUGGGUGCCCGGGGCAGAGGGGUGGAAUACGUUGGGGUGCCCCACGAUAGCUGUGGGGGGCUCUUAGUGCAGGAUCCUGUGGAUUAGCAACAAGUUGCUCCUCAGAGCUCGGUUCAACUCUGCGACUUGAAUGCAAACAUCACAAAGGAAUUUCGGAGAAUGCUUCUGUCUGCUUCUUAUAUGUAAUCCCGAUUCCAACGAAAUCCUCAAAGGUUCCAACGAAAUGAGCCUUAGGGGCAACCCCUGCUGCUGUGCCCAGGCCGGGCCGGGCAGUGGCUCAGGAACGUGGCGGGGAACACGGUGCCAGUGCUGGGGUCAGGGCUCUGUCGUGGAGGCAGGAUGUCUCUGUGG